rnacentral:tRNA from 1 species
UUUGGCCGAGUGGUUAAGGCGACAGACUCGAAAUCUGUUGGGCAUUGCCCGCACAGGUUCAAAUCCUGUAG